rnacentral:tRNA from 1 species
GGGGGUUUAGCUCAGCGGCAUAAGCGCCUGCCUUGAAAGCAGGAGUCGUGAGUUUAAUCCCCA